GAUGAACGCUGGCGGCGUGCCUAAUACAUGCAAGUCGAGCGAACGGACGAGAAGCUUGCUUCUCUGAUGUUAGCGGCGGACGGGUGAGUAACACGUGGAUAACCUACCUAUAAGACUGGGAUAACUUCGGGAAACCGUAGCUAAUACCGGAUAAUAUUUUGAACCGCAUGGUUCAAAAGUGAAAGACGGUCUUGCUGUCACUUAUAGAUGGAUCCGCGCUUCAUUAGCUAGUUGGUAAGGUAACGGCUUACCAAGGCAACGAUGCAUAGCCGACCUGAGAGGGGGAUCGGCAACACUGGAACUGAGACACGGUCCAGCCUCCUACGGGAGGCAGCAGUAGGGAAUCUUCCGCAAUGGGCGAAAGCUUGACGGAGCAACGCCGCGUGAGUGAUGAAGGUCUUCGGAUCGUAAAACUCUGUGAUUAGGGAAGAACAUAUGUGUAAGUAACUGUGCACAUCUUGACGGUACCUAAUCAGAAAGCCACGGCUAACUACGUG
rnacentral:rRNA from 1 species